ACUUCAGUGACUUUGUCCUUUACAUUGACAAGCCAGAUAAGAUGAUCUCGUCUUAAAUAAUCUUUUGUGUUUAGGUAUUUCUCUGGCAGUUUUGUAUUACAAUUUAAAAAUAGACUACCCUAUGCCUAUACUCAUGUUGGCUAUGGUAUUUUGAACUUGAUUUCUGAGGCUGCUGACAGCUUUUGAAAGAUUUAACAACUGGCAGCAAGAAAAACUCCCUUAGAAUGUGUUCUAUGAAAUUUUUUCUCCUGGAAAAAAAAAAAAGAGAGACAUCAUUUAGCAGGUAAUAUAUUGCAAUAAAAAUAUGGUUAUGCAAUAAUGGUUCAUUAAUAUGACAAAUCAUAACAUAACCUUUUCUAUUAAAUGUAAAAAGCAAUUUAUUGAAAUGAAGACAUCCUUCCUAUGGUGCAUUUCCAUAGUCAUUGGUUCGAAAGGUUUCUUUUUUAUUAUUAUUCAAAACAGUCAUUUUGAUUUGCACAGGAGAUAACAGUUGUUCAUGACAUUUUUAUUUCUGCAUAAACAGAUUUCCAUUUUGGCGAAGGUUAAUACAGUAGGAAUUUGUUUUUACUUUUGGAUAUACUGUGAUACCACUAAAGCACUUUGUUUAGUAUGGAACCGCUAAUUUAUCCUUUAUGCCUUUACGAUCUUGUCAGUGCCGCAUGUCUCCCUUAGUUUUUCUAAUCUAAAAUAAUCCCAGUGAAAUCCUUUGAUUGUCUGUUUGGACCUGCUCCAUUCCUAAAGCAGGAAUGUAAUGGGCUUUAUGGCACUUACUUGGGAGUAAUUUAUCCAGCAGUGUGACUAUAGAUACUUGUUUUAAUAAGAAUAUGCUUUAUGGUAAGUGGGGACUGCUAUUUAAUUAGCCAAAGGGAAAGUAGUUCAUGAUACAAUCUGUUCCAAUCAUCUUGGACAUUAAACAAAAAGUCAGGCUAAGUUAUUUAUGUACAUGCACUUUAUUUGUAGUUGCUUUAAGCAAACCUCUUCUCUGAAACUUUAUAGCAUUCUCUAAGUGAGCUGAAUUGUGGUGUGGGAGGAAUCGGGUAAGAAAAGGACAUGAGAGCAUCCUAUAAAAUUCUUGAAAAAGAAACAGAAGGUUUACUUAUUGCUAUCAAGGUUGUGAGUACAGGCAUACCAAAUGGAAAACAGAGAACUAUGAAUUAUCCUCUGCCAUUUGGUGCAUUUGGUAGAAAACUGCCAUCCUUAGUGCAUAGUUGGAAGAAUGUUGUGAGGUGUUAGUAAGGCAUUUGUGUGCGUGUGCGCGCGUAUGUGUUUCCCUUAGAUUUCCAUUGCUUCUAACAGGAACAUGUUUCUGAAAGUUCACAAUUAUAGUCCUAUAUAGUAUAAAAAUAAAGGAAAUUUAAGACAUUCAAUGAAGACCCAACCACUUCAAUUCUCAGAAUGAAGUUUAGCACAUGGACAUGUUUUAAGAAAUCUUCCCUUCCUAAUAAAACUAUAAUAGUGAUAUAAUAGAUAUAGUGGUAUAGCUAUCACUUAUAGUUAUAUAAGUAGUAUCCAUUUCUAAUUGGCCAACAUGUAAUUGACUGUUCAAAGGAUUGCCAUAACAGUAUCUAUGGAUGGAUGAAAAAAACAAACAGCAAAAAAAAAGGAAACAAAAUAUGAGACUGUAUUCCUAGGAUAUUACCUCCUAGGUUAUGGUUUGCUCGAUAGUUUUAUACCUUUUCUCUCUUCCCUGUGUAAACUGUUGUAAGCACAAAGAAGUCACCUAUUGUAAGCACAAAGAACACAGGAGUUAGAAUCUGAUGACCAAUAUGGCUCUGCUAUAUUUUACCCCCAUGGCCUUGGGGAAUGCACUUAAACUAGUAAAGUUUAUUUCCCUAUGUGCACUGUCAACUUUGCAGCACUGCAGAGAGAAUCACGUGAGCUGAUAUUUGUGAGUGUCUUUUGUAAAGUGAAGGUCUAGUGUAAGUUAGAACUUGCUUAUAAAACUGCUUGGGCAUCAGGUUUGGGUUAUAGUCAUGUAUGCACAUCCUGUACAGGGUCUUUUACACUGUCAGGACUCAGAACUGAUCCUGAGUACUCUCUAAAUGGUCUUUAGUUUUCUGUACCUGUUUCUACACCACCAUUAUUUUGUACAUAACAUAUAUGUCGUUCUUUUCAAAAUGACUUUAAAAACUACAACUCAAAAAAGGGCUCUAAAUCGCAGUUUGUCUCUGUCAUCUAAGCAACCAAAGCACUGUCUUCACAAUUGGCCUGUCAGUGGCAGUGCAAAGAUGUGGCGCCCACGCUCGGGUCUUUAGGAGAACACGGUGGGCAAAGGACUCUGGUGAGCAUGAAGUAAGUCAAUGUUAAGGGCUACCCUGCCUGUACCAUUGUAUAAUUUUCAUAUCAUUUUUAUUUCAUACCAUUAGUUUCUCUUUACCAUCAGCAGGUUUUCUCCUUCUCUCUCUCCCCCCAGUUCCCCUAGGGAAAUCUUUUCAGCUGCCUAAACAAAACCCCCAAAGAUGGCUGCAUAUAUUGAGUCAUCUCCUAGACAGCUUGGGGAGGUUACAAAAGGUUUUGGAGUCAUUACUGGUUCAACAAUUGACUGCCAAUGGUCCCAGUCAUCAGGAAACAGAGGCGGUGCAGUCGCGCCUUGAAAGGAGAACCCGACUGAGUCUGUGGAUAGUACUCCUAACAUAAGGAGACAGAAAAGGAAAUACUAAAGACCGAACUUUCCUUCAACUCUGUGGUCUCACACAUCCCUCAGUGACUUGGAAAGUUUUCUGACAUGAGACAGUGUGCAGAGCGAGCUAGUCACUCCCUUUCCUCCUCCUGAAGACGUGUAAACAGCUGGUACAUGCAAUCUCCCUGGCUGGAGAGAAGUAAAUGCAUGACUGAUGUUAAACAAAUAUAGGCUUGUACCAGGAACUCAGAAGUAUUACAUAUACAACAUGACAAAGGGCCCGGUGUGGUUCAUGGUCAUUUCAGGUGUUAAGUGUCAAGCAUUGGAGUAUCAGAGUCAAUAACUUUUUUUAAAAAGGCCGUUACUUGUUUCUUCUUUGGAAUUCUUUAGGUCCUUUUGCUACAGUUUUCUUGGCAUGGCAUCAUACAAUUGUGAAAAUUGUUGAUCACCAUAAUGCUAGUGUUCCUCAAUUUUUGUUGGUUUUAAUUGCAAAAUUUGAUUUAUGUUAUUUUUAAUCUUAUCUUGAAAAAUCAAUGAGAUCAUUUUUCUUUCAAGCCAUGGUUGCAACUCAAUGGUACCAAGGUGAGCUCAGGGGGCGAGGAGGGUGGUAAAAGUGAGUGUGGGCUCAGCUUCUGUUAACUACAUUUUUCUCCUAGUAAGUAGUUGGUGUCCAAAGGUCUUGACUAUAUAAUAGGAAGCUUGGAUACGUGGUUUAGACUUAAAUGUAGACAUCUGAUUCAUCAAGUAACACUUAUGAAAUGAGUCUGUGUGUCACUGAUCUAAGUGGUAAGUGGAGGGAGUUAAAUACACUGUCCCUGUCCUCUAGGACAGUUUCAGCCUGGCUGACACUGAGGCUUAAUAAGCCAUGGUUGUCUUCAUCUUGUUUUGUAGUAGCUAGUCAACCAAUCUGUUGACAAAAAUGAGAAAUAUAAAAUGCACUGAAAAUCAAGCAAACAUAGAACAUAAUAGGAAUGAAUUCAAUGGGCUAAUUUCUCUUUUAUCACCAACUCUGUAAUGCUGAAAUUUGUGGAAUCCUUAGGGUUUAGAAAGAAUGAGGUAAAUGUCUAUCUCUAUACUAAGAUUUAUGCUUGUAUUUACCAUUAUGGCAUUUUUCCAUAUUUUGCGCCUUAUUUUUGUCUUUCUCACUAGACAAGUUCCUUGCAGAAUGUCUUCCUUUCAUGUCAUUGCAUCUUUUCUUUUUUUUUAUCCACACCAGUUCUAUAACUUCUAUAACAGGAUAGCUGCUUAAUAACGCUUCUACACUGUAGGAGUAAUGGAUGAAUUAGUGAAUGAAUGAAUGACCAUAUCUUAGUCCAGAAUAGAACCUGUGUGCAUCAAAUCCUUAUUGCUCUUUCCACCUUACUGGGGUUAUUUCAUACCCCGUAUUCUCCUCUUUUCUAUAUGAGUAAACUUCCAGAAAAGAAAAUUAGGUUAUAAUCACAUUCAAAAUGGAGGUCAGUCUGAAAUUGCUGUGUUAAAAUGAUUAUCUUUCAUGAGCCUAUGUGUCUUGAGAAUAAUUAAUGUCCUAUGUCCGUUGGUGCUUCUGUUCUUCCUGUUUGAGGCCCCUUAUUAUAGAUUUCCUAACAUUAUUUUUUAAUGGGAAAAAGAAAAGUAUAAAUUAUGGAAAUUAAAAAUACAAAUGUUUCUAUUUACAUUAUUGUUCAUAAUCAUAAUCCAAUUCUUAAGGUUCUGUGCUAAGAGCUAAGUAUAUAAUCUGAACUUUAAUCUAUUUGAUUUGAUAAAGCAUUUUACUAUUUCUUAUUCUGAAAGAACAACAAAAAUAUGUCACUUUACCUGUUUGAUAAGCUGUUAGAAACAAUAUUUAAAAACUAUUUCCCUUCAAAGCACUCUUGCAUCAGUUCCUUUCUCUCACAUCAGCCAUGAGAAGUGGACAGGACAGAUAGUAUUAUCUCCAUUUUGCAAAGAAAAUGGAGAUUCAUUAAUAUAUGUUCAUUUGGUCCUUAAAAAGGACACUACCUAUGCUUGACCCACAGGAGUUGCUAGAUCUACAAAACUAACCGUAACUUCCUCUGAAGUAGCUGACAGCCUACUUGAGGCAACAUUGCCCUUAGACUGAGGUAGCCAGGACCCCCCCAUACUAGACUCUAAGCUUUAGAGGGCCCUAAAUUCCUCUUCUGACUGUUCUCUCCAUGGGGCCAAGGAGAUGUGCUUACCCAGAAUUUGAGCCACCCUCCCUUCUAGACCACACACCAGAGACCCAGAAUUCCUUGCCCAAUGAGGAAGCCCUACUUUCUGGGCUUGUGCAUAGCCUCUUCCCCAGGUUCACCCUCCCGAGGGCACACCACUCAUCUCUAGACCCAAUAGGAUUCCAGCCUCAAGGGCCCACAAGGUGCAGAUAAAGAUGAAAAGAGAAGAGUGGACAGCUCAAGACAAACAAACAUUAGGGAAAGCCCCGAGAAGGGGAAGUAGGGAAAUCAGCAAUUACAGCACUACCCAUGAUUAAGUGGUACGAUGGAAGUGAACAGAAAAUGCUAUGGAAAAACUGAAGGAGGACACCAACCCAGCUAGGGAAUGAGAGUGGAAGAGGGAUGUUGGCAAGGCUCUUAGAGAAGAAAUUGAGCUGUGGAGGCUGGCUUAAAAUUAUGUUAUGAGGGCAGAAGAGGAACGAAGGGCUUUUUAGUAGAGGGAAAGAUGUGUAAAGGCACAGAGGAGUGAGAUCAUGUGGAAAUUCAUGGACCUGAAAGUUCCUUCCAUAUGGUUGAAGAAACAGAGAAAGAGGGGCAAAAAGUUGUAGAGGAGAGAUGGGCAGUUAUUGCUAUUUUCUGCCAGCAUUCAUUCCCCUUUUCUUGGGUAAUAUGAACCUGAUUUUAUUUAGAUUCUCCCCAUUGGCUACUGUUGGGCAGGGCUAGGAGGAUGCCCUCCUUUCUGUUAGACUGAAGGCAAAAAAGAGUGACAAAAUGCUGAAAAUCACUGAGGUCCUUUUGUUUACAGAGCAUUUCCAUGUGGAACAGUCAAGCAGCUUCUAACUUAGAGGCCUUUUGGAACAGCAUGGUUUCUCCCUGCACUAAAUCUCUGCAGCCUUCCUUUCCAACCUGCAAACACUGCAGAGCCUUCUAACAAAUUUGAGUUUUGAUUAAGGAAGUCAUAGUUGGUGUCAUUUGAUGGGAAUCAAAGAGUCCUAGUUGAUAUUAGAAGAAAGCAAAAUUGAUUAUUAGAGGCCUUGAAUUCCAUGCUGUGGAGUUUGGACUUUAUUUGAAGGCAA
rnacentral:lncRNA from 1 species